UAACUAUUUCAGCAAAAGGUGAAAGUGGCACUUGCUGCAGUUUGUGACACCUUCAAAGAGCAGCUCACCACCUGAGUGCCUCACUGUGAUGGGCUUGCCAGUAUCACAUAAGUUCACAACCUUUCAGUAUAUUUAUACCUCCAAUUUGCUCAUAAAUAUUCUUUGAGCUUUUGCAUGAGAAAUAAUGUCGAGGACUCUAAGCUGUGAGCCUGAACAUGUGAACGUGCCUAACAAAUUUGAGGAGAUGUCAACUUCCACCAAGGAUAAAAUCACAGCUUACUGCCCCUCCUGCAAGCACAGAAGCAGGGACUCUUCUUCCCAAGUCAAUGGCUUUUGUUGUGGACUUGUCAGAAAUGGUACCAUCUCCUCACCCCAGGAUUAGCACAGAGCUGUCUGGGCCAGAGACAGCAGCUGGAGAAGACACCUGCUCCAGGAGAAAGGAUGCAUCCAAUAGAGAUGGAGAUCUCCAUCAUGGUUC